AGAGUUUGAUCCUGGCUCAGAUUGAACGCUGGCGGAAUGCUUUACACAUGCAAGUCGAACGGCAGCACGGGAGCUUGCUCCUGGUGGCGAGUGGCGAACGGGUGAGUAAUAUAUCGGAACGUAUCCAAUAAUGGGGGAUAACAUAUCGAAAGAUGUGCUAAUACCGCAUACGCCCUGAGGGGGAAAGCGGAGGACCGUAAGGCUUCGCGUUAAUGGAGCGGCCGAUAUCGGAUUAGCUAGUUGGUGAGGUAAAGGCUCACCAAGGCGACGAUCCGUAGCUGGUCUGAGAGGACGACCAGCCACACUGGAACUGAGACACGGUCCAGACUCCUACGGGAGGCAGCAGUGGGGAAUUUUGGACAAUGGGGGCAACCCUGAUCCAGCCAUUCCGCGUGAGUGAAGAAGGCCUUCGGGUUGUAAAGCUCUUUCGCAAGGGAAGAAAACUUACCCUCUAACAUAGGGUGAGGCUGACGGUACCUUGAUAAGAAGCACCGGCUAACUACGUGCCAGCAGCCGCGGUAAUACGUAGGGUGCGAGCGUUAAUCGGAAUUACUGGGCGUAAAGCGUGCGCAGGCGGCUUGAAAAGUCAGAUGUGAAAUCCCCGGGCUCAACCUGGGAACUGCGUUUGAAACUCUCAAGCUAGAGUAUGUCAGAGGGGGGUAGAAUUCCACGUGUAGCAGUGAAAUGCGUAGAGAUGUGGAGGAAUACCGAUGGCGAAGGCAGCCCCCUGGGAUAAUACUGACGCUCAUGCACGAAAGCGUGGGGAGCAAACAGGAUUAGAUACCCUGGUAGUCCACGCC
rnacentral:rRNA from 1 species